GGGUUGUGAGGUUAAGCGACUAAGCGUACACGGUGGAUGCCCUGGCAGUCAGAGGCGAUGAAGGACGUGCUAAUCUGCGAUAAGCGUCGGUAAGGUGAUAUGAACCGUUAUAACCGGCGAUUUCCGAAUGGGGAAACCCAGUGUGUUUCGACACACUAUCAUUAACUGAAUCCAUAGGUUAAUGAGGCGAACCGGGGGAACUGAAACAUCUAAGUACCCCGAGGAAAAGAAAUCAACCGAGAUUCCCCCAGUAGCGGCGAGCGAACGGGGAGCAGCCCAGAGCCUGAAUCAGUGUGUGUGUUAGUGGAAGCGUCUGGAAAGGCGCGCGAUACAGGGUGACAGCCCCGUACACAAAAAUGCACAUACUGUGAGCUCGAUGAGUAGGGCGGGACACGUGGUAUCCUGUCUGAAUAUGGGGGGACCAUCCUCCAAGGCUAAAUACUCCUGACUGACCGAUAGUGAACCAGUACCGUGAGGGAAAGGCGAAAAGAACCCCGGCGAGGGGAGUGAAAAAGAACCUGAAACCGUGUACGUACAAGCAGUGGGAGCCUCUUUUAUGGGGUGACUGCGUACCUUUUGUAUAAUGGGUCAGCGACUUAUAUUCUGUAGCAAGGUUAACCGAAUAGGGGAGCCGAAGGGAAACCGAGUCUUAACUGGGCGUUAAGUUGCAGGGUAUAGACCCGAAACCCGGUGAUCUAGCCAUGGGCAGGUUGAAGGUUGGGUAACACUAACUGGAGGACCGAACCGACUAAUGUUGAAAAAUUAGCGGAUGACUUGUGGCUGGGGGUGAAAGGCCAAUCAAACCGGGAGAUAGCUGGUUCUCCCCGAAAGCUAUUUAGGUAGCGCCUCGUGAAUUCAUCUCCGGGGGUAGAGCACUGUUUCGGCAAGGGGGUCAUCCCGACUUACCAACCCGAUGCAAACUGCGAAUACCGGAGAAUGUUAUCACGGGAGACACACGGCGGGUGCUAACGUCCGUCGUGAAGAGGGAAACAACCCAGACCGCCAGCUAAGGUCCCAAAGUCAUGGUUAAGUGGGAAACGAUGUGGGAAGGCCCAGACAGCCAGGAUGUUGGCUUAGAAGCAGCCAUCAUUUAAAGAAAGCGUAAUAGCUCACUGGUCGAGUCGGCCUGCGCGGAAGAUGUAACGGGGCUAAACCAUGCACCGAAGCUGCGGCAGCGACACUAUGUGUUGUUGGGUAGGGGAGCGUUCUGUAAGCCUGUGAAGGUGUACUGUGAGGUAUGCUGGAGGUAUCAGAAGUGCGAAUGCUGACAUAAGUAACGAUAAAGCGGGUGAAAAGCCCGCUCGCCGGAAGACCAAGGGUUCCUGUCCAACGUUAAUCGGGGCAGGGUGAGUCGACCCCUAAGGCGAGGCCGAAAGGCGUAGUCGAUGGGAAACAGGUUAAUAUUCCUGUACUUGGUGUUACUGCGAAGGGGGGACGGAGAAGGCUAUGUUGGCCGGGCGACGGUUGUCCCGGUUUAAGCGUGUAGGCUGGUUUUCCAGGCAAAUCCGGAAAAUCAAGGCUGAGGCGUGAUGACGAGGCACUACGGUGCUGAAGCAACAAAUGCCCUGCUUCCAGGAAAAGCCUCUAAGCAUCAGGUAACAUCAAAUCGUACCCCAAACCGACACAGGUGGUCAGGUAGAGAAUACCAAGGCGCUUGAGAGAACUCGGGUGAAGGAACUAGGCAAAAUGGUGCCGUAACUUCGGGAGAAGGCACGCUGAUAUGUAGGUGAAGCGACUUGCUCGUGGAGCUGAAAUCAGUCGAAGAUACCAGCUGGCUGCAACUGUUUAUUAAAAACACAGCACUGUGCAAACACGAAAGUGGACGUAUACGGUGUGACGCCUGCCCGGUGCCGGAAGGUUAAUUGAUGGGGUCAGCGCAAGCGAAGCUCUUGAUCGAAGCCCCGGUAAACGGCGGCCGUAACUAUAACGGUCCUAAGGUAGCGAAAUUCCUUGUCGGGUAAGUUCCGACCUGCACGAAUGGCGUAAUGAUGGCCAGGCUGUCUCCACCCGAGACUCAGUGAAAUUGAACUCGCUGUGAAGAUGCAGUGUACCCGCGGCAAGACGGAAAGACCCCGUGAACCUUUACUAUAGCUUGACACUGAACAUUGAGCCUUGAUGUGUAGGAUAGGUGGGAGGCUUAGAAGUGUGGACGCCAGUCUGCAUGGAGCCGACCUUGAAAUACCACCCUUUAAUGUUUGAUGUUCUAACGUGGACCCGUGAUCCGGGUUGCGGACAGUGUCUGGUGGGUAGUUUGACUGGGGCGGUCUCCUCCUAAAGAGUAACGGAGGAGCACGAAGGUUGGCUAAUCCUGGUCGGACAUCAGGAGGUUAGUGCAAUGGCAUAAGCCAGCUUGACUGCGAGCGUGACGGCGCGAGCAGGUGCGAAAGCAGGUCAUAGUGAUCCGGUGGUUCUGAAUGGAAGGGCCAUCGCUCAACGGAUAAAAGGUACUCCGGGGAUAACAGGCUGAUACCGCCCAAGAGUUCAUAUCGACGGCGGUGUUUGGCACCUCGAUGUCGGCUCAUCACAUCCUGGGGCUGAAGUAGGUCCCAAGGGUAUGGCUGUUCGCCAUUUAAAGUGGUACGCGAGCUGGGUUUAGAACGUCGUGAGACAGUUCGGUCCCUAUCUGCCGUGGGCGCUGGAGAACUGAGGGGGGCUGCUCCUAGUACGAGAGGACCGGAGUGGACGCAUCACUGGUGUUCGGGUUGUCAUGCCAAUGGCACUGCCCGGUAGCUAAAUGCGGAAGAGAUAAGUGCUGAAAGCAUCUAAGCACGAAACUUGCCCCGAGAUGAGUUCUCCCUGACCCUUUAAGGGUCCUGAAGGAACGUUGAAGACGACGACGUUGAUAGGCCGGGUGUGUAAGCGCAGCGAUGCGUUGAGCUAACCGGUACUAAUGAACCGUGAGGCUUAACCUUACAACGCCGAAGCUGUU
rnacentral:rRNA from 1 species